GGGGAUGACUUGGUAUCGAUUAGAGCAGUGAGGAUCAGUUGCAUGUCGGCCUGAACAUGCCGUUACGCGGUUCAUUUUUUUUAGACGCAAACAAUACUGAUUACGCUCCAGCUUACGCAAAAGCUGCGUAAGUUUUAACAAACUUAUAGGACUCGCCUUAGGGCUUGAGACCUCGGAGGCUCACACUACUGAUUCUAUCUAGGUAGAUUUCGUGGGUUCACCCAAGAUAGAUUAUCAUCUUAGAGUUGAUUUGGCUAAUUUGAGACACUUUUAAAUCUUAGCUUCGCAAUUGUUUUUGCGGGUUGAGCUGUUGUGAAGUGAAAUUUUUCAACCCUUCUAAGCAUGUAGACGCUGGUAGUAGCUGUUUUAAGACUGGAGUUCGAUUCUCCACAUCUCCACCA
rnacentral:tmRNA from 1 species